UACGGGGGGUGCGAGCGUUGUCCGGAAUCACUGGGCGUAAAGGGCGCGUAGGUGGCCUGAUAAGGGUGUGGUGAAAGUCCGGGGCUCAACCCCGGAUCUGCCGUGCCGACUGUUAGGCUAGAGUACUGUAGGGGCAGGCGGAAUUCCGGGUGUAGCGGUGGAAUGCGUAGAGAUCCGGAGGAAGACCGGUGGCGAAGGCGGCCUGCUGGGCUGGUACUGACGCUGAUGCGCGAAAGCGUGGGUAGCAAACGGG
rnacentral:rRNA from 1 species